rnacentral:rRNA from 1 species
UACGUAGGUGGCAAGCGUUGUCCGGAUUUACUGGGCGUAAAGAGUGCGCAGGCGGUCGAGUAAGUCGAAUGUGAAAGCCCCCGGCUUAACUGGGGAGGGUCAUUCGAUACUGUUCGACUUGAAGGCAGGAGAGGGCAGCAGAAUUCCCGGUGUAGUGGUGAAAUGCGUAGAUAUCGGGAGGAAUACCAGUGGCGAAGGCGGCUGCCUGGCCUGUUCUUGACGCUGAGGCGCGAAAGCUGGGGGAGCAAGCGGG